UUAAGCGACUAAGCGUACACGGUGGAUGCCCUGGCAGUCAGAGGCGAUGAAGGACGUGCUAAUCUGCGAUAAGCGUCGGUAAGGUGAUAUGAACCGUUAUAACCGGCGAUUUCCGAAUGGGGAAACCCAGUGUGUUUCGACACACUAUCAUUAACUGAAUCCAUAGGUUAAUGAGGCGAACCGGGGGAACUGAAACAUCUAAGUACCCCGAGGAAAAGAAAUCAACCGAGAUUCCCCCAGUAGCGGCGAGCGAACGGGGAGCAGCCCAGAGCCUGAAUCAGUGUGUGUGUUAGUGGAAGCGUCUGGAAAGGCGUGCGAUACAGGGUGACAGCCCCGUACACAAAAAUGCACAUGCUGUGAGCUCGAUGAGUAGGGCGGGACACGUGGUAUCCUGUCUGAAUAUGGGGGGACCAUCCUCCAAGGCUAAAUACUCCUGACUGACCGAUAGUGAACCAGUACCGUGAGGGAAAGGCGAAAAGAACCCCGGCGAGGGGAGUGAAAAAGAACCUGAAACCGUGUACGUACAAGCAGUGGGAGCACGCUUAGGCGUGUGACUGCGUACCUUUUGUAUAAUGGGUCAGCGACUUAUAUUCUGUAGCAAGGUUAACCGAAUAGGGGAGCCGAAGGGAAACCGAGUCUUAACUGGGCGUUAAGUUGCAGGGUAUAGACCCGAAACCCGGUGAUCUAGCCAUGGGCAGGUUGAAGGUUGGGUAACACUAACUGGAGGACCGAACCGACUAAUGUUGAAAAAUUAGCGGAUGACUUGUGGCUGGGGGUGAAAGGCCAAUCAAACCGGGAGAUAGCUGGUUCUCCCCGAAAGCUAUUUAGGUAGCGCCUCGUGAAUUCAUCUCCGGGGGUAGAGCACUGUUUCGGCAAGGGGGUCAUCCCGACUUACCAACCCGAUGCAAACUGCGAAUACCGGAGAAUGUUAUCACGGGAGACACACGGCGGGUGCUAACGUCCGUCGUGAAGAGGGAAACAACCCAGACCGCCAGCUAAGGUCCCAAAGUCAUGGUUAAGUGGGAAACGAUGUGGGAAGGCCCAGACAGCCAGGAUGUUGGCUUAGAAGCAGCCAUCAUUUAAAGAAAGCGUAAUAGCUCACUGGUCGAGUCGGCCUGCGCGGAAGAUGUAACGGGGCUAAACCAUGCACCGAAGCUGCGGCAGCGACACUAUGUGUUGUUGGGUAGGGGAGCGUUCUGUAAGCCUGCGAAGGUGUGCUGUGAGGCAUGCUGGAGGUAUCAGAAGUGCGAAUGCUGACAUAAGUAACGAUAAAGCGGGUGAAAAGCCCGCUCGCCGGAAGACCAAGGGUUCCUGUCCAACGUUAAUCGGGGCAGGGUGAGUCGACCCCUAAGGCGAGGCCGAAAGGCGUAGUCGAUGGGAAACAGGUUAAUAUUCCUGUACUUGGUGUUACUGCGAAGGGGGGACGGAGAAGGCUAUGUUGGCCGGGCGACGGUUGUCCCGGUUUAAGCGUGUAGGCUGGUUUUCCAGGCAAAUCCGGAAAAUCAAGGCUGAGGCGUGAUGACGAGGCACUACGGUGCUGAAGCAACAAAUGCCCUGCUUCCAGGAAAAGCCUCUAAGCAUCAGGUAACAUCAAAUCGUACCCCAAACCGACACAGGUGGUCAGGUAGAGAAUACCAAGGCGCUUGAGAGAACUCGGGUGAAGGAACUAGGCAAAAUGGUGCCGUAACUUCGGGAGAAGGCACGCUGAUAUGUAGGUGAAGUCCCUCGCGGAUGGAGCUGAAAUCAGUCGAAGAUACCAGCUGGCUGCAACUGUUUAUUAAAAACACAGCACUGUGCAAACACGAAAGUGGACGUAUACGGUGUGACGCCUGCCCGGUGCCGGAAGGUUAAUUGAUGGGGUUAGCGCAAGCGAAGCUCUUGAUCGAAGCCCCGGUAAACGGCGGCCGUAACUAUAACGGUCCUAAGGUAGCGAAAUUCCUUGUCGGGUAAGUUCCGACCUGCACGAAUGGCGUAAUGAUGGCCAGGCUGUCUCCACCCGAGACUCAGUGAAAUUGAACUCGCUGUGAAGAUGCAGUGUACCCGCGGCAAGACGGAAAGACCCCGUGAACCUUUACUAUAGCUUGACACUGAACAUUGAGCCUUGAUGUGUAGGAUAGGUGGGAGGCUUUGAAGUGUGGACGCCAGUCUGCAUGGAGCCGGCCUUGAAAUACCACCCUUUAAUGUUUGAUGUUCUAACGUUGACCCGUGAUCCGGGUUGCGGACAGUGUCUGGUGGGUAGUUUGACUGGGGCGGUCUCCUCCUAAAGAGUAACGGAGGAGCACGAAGGUUGGCUAAUCCUGGUCGGACAUCAGGAGGUUAGUGCAAUGGCAUAAGCCAGCUUGACUGCGAGCGUGACGGCGCGAGCAGGUGCGAAAGCAGGUCAUAGUGAUCCGGUGGUUCUGAAUGGAAGGGCCAUCGCUCAACGGAUAAAAGGUACUCCGGGGAUAACAGGCUGAUACCGCCCAAGAGUUCAUAUCGACGGCGGUGUUUGGCACCUCGAUGUCGGCUCAUCACAUCCUGGGGCUGAAGUAGGUCCCAAGGGUAUGGCUGUUCGCCAUUUAAAGUGGUACGCGAGCUGGGUUUAGAACGUCGUGAGACAGUUCGGUCCCUAUCUGCCGUGGGCGCUGGAGAACUGAGGGGGGCUGCUCCUAGUACGAGAGGACCGGAGUGGACGCAUCACUGGUGUUCGGGUUGUCAUGCCAAUGGCACUGCCCGGUAGCUAAAUGCGGAAGAGAUAAGUGCUGAAAGCAUCUAAGCACGAAACUUGCCCCGAGAUGAGUUCUCCCUGACUCCUUGAGAGUCCUGAAGGAACGUUGAAGACGACGACGUUGAUAGGCCGGGUGUGUAAGCGCAGCGAUGCGUUGAGCUAACCGGUACUAAUGAACCGUGAGGCUUAACCUU
rnacentral:rRNA from 1 species